UAAAACUUGUUUUCCACCAAUCUGUCAAAUUCCUAUUUAGAACGCUAUAUUAACUUGACAGUGCAUAUUUCUCAGUUGAAAAAGUAAUGCUGGGUAAAAAUUUCAAUGUUAAAUGUUAGUGUUUACAACUAUGCGCAUGGAACUCAAAAAUGCUAAUUUUGGAUGUGAUUUCAAACAAGCUGUUCUCACCCACAGAUGCUAGACUGCUGCAAUCCUAGAACAUCAUUUCUGAGUACAAAGCACUAGUCCUCCUUGAUUCCUAGUCCCACCUAUCUUGCUUUGCUAUUGGCCAACAGUUCUUAUCGACAAAUACACAAGACUUCGCCCAACAUAAAGCCAAGUGCCCUUCCCAGAUGCUAGACUGCUGCAAUCCUAGAACAUCAUUUCUGAGUACAAAGCACUAGUCCUCCUUGAUUCCUAGUCCCACCUAUCUUGCUUUGCUAUUGGCCAACAGUUCUUAUCGACAAAUACACAAGACUUCGCCCAACAU